rnacentral:rRNA from 1 species
UACGUAGGGUGCAAGCGUUGUCCGGAAUUAUUGGGCGUAAAGAGCUCGUAGGCGGUUUGUUGCGUCGGCUGUGAAAUCCCGAGGCUCAACCUCGGGUCUGCAGUCGAUACGAGCAAACUAGAGUGUUGCAGGGGAGACUGGAAUUCCUGGUGUAGCGGUGAAAUGCGCAGAUAUCUGGAGGAAUACCGGUGGCGAAGGCGGCAUCCUGGACCGGCAUUGACGCUGAGGAGCGAAAAGCUAGGGGAGCAAACGGGG